UUGUGGUGAUGGACGCACAUCAAUUGGUCGUUGCUGGAUUGUGUGACUGAACAUUUCUUCCAUCUUUUUAAUGGUGCUACACUAAAAUCAGGUCCUUUAUAUACAAGAUUUGUGUGUGUGUGUGCAUGUGUAUGGAUACUUUAUUUAAGAGGAAAAAGGGUAACAAA